rnacentral:tRNA from 18 species
UGGGGCGUCGCCAAGCGGUAAGGCAACGGCCUUUGAUGCCGUCAUACCCUGGUUCGAAUCCAGGCGCCCCAGCCA